rnacentral:rRNA from 1 species
UACGAAGGGGGCUAGCGUUGUUCGGAAUUACUGGGCGUAAAGCGCACGCAGGCAGCUCGAUAAAUUAGAAGUGAAAGCCCCGGGCUUAACCUGGGAAUUGCUUUUAAGACUGUCGGGCUAGAAUCCAGAAGAGGGUAGUGGAAUUCCGAGUGUAGAGGUGAAAUUCGUAGAUAUUCGGAAGAACACCAGUGGCGAAGGCGACUACCUGGUCUGGCAUUGACGCUCAUGUGCGAAAGCGUGGGGAGCAAACAGG